rnacentral:pre_miRNA from 1 species
UAUCUACUCCCUCCGUUCCAAAUUACUCAUCGCAGAAAUGGAUGUAUCUAGAACUAAAAUACAUCUAGAUACAUCCAUACCCGCGACAAGUAAUUCGGAACGGAGGGAGUACAAA